rnacentral:rRNA from 1 species
AACGAACGCUGGCGGCAUGCCUAACACAUGCAAGUCGAACGAGCCCUUCGGGUCUAGUGGCGCACGGGUGCGUAACGCGUGGGAACCUGCCUUUAGGUUCGGAAUAACUCAGAGAAAUUUGAGCUAAUACCGGAUGAUGUCUUCGGACCAAAGAUUUAUCGCCUUUAGAUGGGCCCGCGUUGGAUUAGCUAGUUGGUGGGGUAAAGGCCUACCAAGGCGACGAUCCAUAGCUGGUCUGAGAGGAUGAUCAGCCACACUGGGACUGAGACACGGCCCAGACUCCUACGGGAGGCAGCAGUGGGGAAUAUUGCACAAUGGGCGAAAGCCUGACGCAGCAAUGCCGCGUGAGUGAUGAAGGUCUUAGGGUUGUAAAGCUCUUUUACCCGGGAUGAUAAUGACAGUACCGGGAGAAGAAGCCCCGGCUAACUCCGUG